UACGUAGGGUGCGAGCGUUGUCCGGAAUUAUUGGGCGUAAAGGGCUCGUAGGCGGUUUGUCGCGUCGGGAGUGAAAACACUGGGCUUAACUCAGUGCUUGCUUCCGAUACGGGCAGACUAGAGGUAUGCAGGGGAGAACGGAAUUCCUGGUGUAGCGGUGAAAUGCGCAGAUAUCAGGAGGAACACCGGUGGCGAAGGCGGUUGCCUGGAGCUUUGCUGACGCUGAUGCGCGAAAGCGUGGGGAGCGAUCCGG
rnacentral:rRNA from 1 species